rnacentral:rRNA from 1 species
UCGGGAAUUUUGGGCAAUGGGCGAAAGCCUGACCCAGCAACGCCGCGUGAGGGAUGAAGGCCCUCGGGUCGUAAACCUCUGUCGGGAGGGAAGAACGGUUGCCCUUCGAACAGGUGGGCAGCCUGACGGUACCUCCAAAGGAAGCACCGGCUAACUCCGUGCCAGCAGCCGCGGUAAUACGGAGGGUGCGAGCGUUGUUCGGAAUCAUUGGGCGUAAAGCGCGUGUAGGCGGCUUGGCAAGUCGGUUGUGAAAUCCCGGGGCCCAACCCCGGAACUGCAAUCGAAACUGCCUCGCUAGAGUCCCGGAGAGGAAGGCGGAAUUCCCGGUGUAGAGGUGAAAUUCGUAGAUAUCGGGAGGAACACCAGUGGCGAAGGCGGCCUUCUGGACGGUGACUGACGCUGAGACGCGAAAGCGUGGGGAGCAA